UCUCCAUGAAUACCAUACUGUAAAUAACAGGCUGGAAAUAAAAUUAUUAUAGGAAGAUAGCAGAAGCUGUGUAAAAACACAAAGCUCACAGCCUGCUGGAGAGAUGUGCAAGUUACUUGAAAGCACUGCCAAGUAGGCACUAAUUGGUGCCCCAAUCGGCAGUCUCAGGAGACAGGCCAAGGAUGGAGACUGAAGGAGUGUCCAGGUCAGCUCGGAGGCACUUGAGACAAACUUGCAGAUAUUUUAACUGACUGUAGCCUAAGGGCUUCUGUGUCAUUUGAUGGGUAUAUACUUUUCAUUAUUUUAUUGCCACUUCACCCAUACCUGCAAAAUUAGUUCAUUUCAGCAGAGCAACACUGAGCAGAAGCGUGACCUGCUCUUCAGCAGAAAGAAGGGAUCUCCUUUAGUCUGAAGACAACAAAUGACUGUUCUCUUGACCUUGUGCCGGAGGUCCAUAUGUCAGUUUUCACUUGCUUCCAAAAUGAGGUUUACUCUUUUUUUUUUUUUUUUUUAGUCUGACUUCUGACACUUCUAGUAGUCUGUAUAAACAGUAGAGAAGAACUGUGUACUCAAGGAAUGAUUUUAAUACUUAAUCCCCCAAUCCACUUCUGUUAAAGAUUUUUUUUUUUAAAGAAAUGUGAAGUUUCAAGCAAUAUUUUAAUGUAUCUCCAUUUUAAAAAUCUUAU